UACGGAGGGUGCAAGCGUUAUCCGGAUUCACUGGGUUUAAAGGGUGCGUAGGCGGGCAGGUAAGUCCGUGGUGAAAUCUCCGAGCUUAACUCGGAAACUGCCAUUGAUACUAUUUGUCUUGAAUAUUGUGGAGGUAAGCGGAAUAUGUCAUGUAGCGGUGAAAUGCUUAGAUAUGACAUAGAACACCAAUUGCGAAGGCAGCUUACUACACAAUGAUUGACGCUGAGGCACGAAAGCGUGGGGAUCAAACAGG
rnacentral:rRNA from 1 species